GUGGACAAAAUCAGGCGGUGGUUGAUUAUAUUAAUCCAAAUCCAUUUCAUUUUCAUAUCAAUCCACUUAUAUACAAUCCAUUUACACACAAAACAUAUAUACAGACAGAGAGGAAACGAGAAAGAGAAAAAGAUAAGGAAAAGAAAAAAGGGAGAAGAAAAUAUUCAUCAGCAAUUAAAGAAAUGGAAAUAGAAAAAGGAAGAGAUAGAUAGCCGUGCCAAUCUUCAUCUGGGAGAUACUUCAUUUACUUGCUGUAAAUUUAUUCACUUUGUUAGCAGCAAUACAAGGAAAUAACGAGGAGAUUGGAGUUGCUUAUUGACCAAGUUAAUCUCCAUCCAAUACAUAUUUUUGUAGCAAUUGAUCCUUUUUAGUCAGAAGAGCCUAAUGAUUUCGGAAUGAGAGUCACACGACAUGUUGAGUAUUAUAACUCAUAUUGAUGAGGUACAAAGUAAUUAAUUUAGGCCUAUCUCAUUAUAUUUUACAUAGCCUUUGAUUUUGGUAUAUUUUUUGUAGAAACUCAUAGUCAGUCUUAGUAAUAGAUUUGACAUCUAGUCAACAUCUAUCAUCAACACACGUCACGUUUAGGAUCUACUCAGGUAAUUCGGGAUGGGUCGUGUUAAUCACGAUCCAGUCCUAUUCCUAGUUCGAAUUCAUUUAAAAAACGUAUAUUAAUUCACAUGAUUUAUCACAUAUAAUUGCACAUGUCAUAUAUUUUAUUCCUAAUACCUAUUGUUCUUGUUUUGAUUUUGCUACAUUCUAACUUAUUGUGAAUAUUCCUACACUACAACAAGCAACUUACUAUCUAAU